UCUAAUAUGGCAGAAUAGUGCGUUGGAUUUAAAUCCCAAAUAUAAAGAAUUUCCUUUUUUUAGAA
rnacentral:tRNA from 1 species